rnacentral:rRNA from 1 species
CCUACGGGUGGCAGCAGUGGGGAAUAUUGCACAAUGGGCGAAAGCCUGAUGCAGCAACGCCGCGUGAAGGAAGACGGUUUUCGGAUUGUAAACUUCUGUUCUUAGUGAAGAAUAAUGACGGUAACUAAGGAGCAAGCAACGGCUAACUACGUGCCAGCAGCCGCGGUAAUACGUAGGUGCCAAGCGUUGUCCGGAAUUACUGGGUGUAAAGGGAGCGUAGGUGGGAAGUCAAGUCAGAUGUGAAAACUACGGGCUAAACCUGUAGACUGCAGUUGAGACUGGCUUUCUUGAGUGAAGUAGAGGUUGGCGGAAUUCCGAGUGUAGCGGUGAAAUGCGUAGAUAUUCGGAGGAACACCGGUGGCGAAGGCGGCCAACUGGGCUUUAACUGACGCUGAGGCUCGAAAGUGUGGGGAGCAAACAGGAUUAGAUACCCUUGUAGUC